rnacentral:rRNA from 1 species
GAUGAACGCUGGCGGCGUGCCUAAUACAUGCAAGUCGAACGGAGAUAUUGUAGCAAUACUUUAUCUUAGUGGCGAACGGGUGAGUAACGCGUUGGUGACCUGCCCCGAAGAGGGGGAUAACAGUUCGAAAGGAUUGCUAAUACCCCAUGUGGUUAUUUGGAUUAGAUGCCUUAUAACAAAAGGAGAAAUUCACUUCGGGAGGGACCUGCGUCCCAUCAGCUAGUUGGUGAGGUAACGGCCCACCAAGGCGAUGAUCGGUAGCUGGUCUGAGAGGACGAUCAGCCACACUGGAACUGGAACACGGUCCAGACUCCUACGGGAGGCAG